rnacentral:rRNA from 1 species
AAUAGAUACCCUGGUAGUCCACGCCGUAAACGAUGGAUGCUAGCUGUUGGGUGCUCGACCCAUCCAGUAGCGAAGCUAACGCGUUAAGCAUCCCGCCUGGGGAGUACGGUCGCAAGAUUAAAACUCAAAGGAAUUGACGGGGACCCGCACAAGCGGUGGAGCGUGUUCUUUAAUUCGAUGAUAAUCGAAGAACCUUACCUGGACUUGACAUCCUGCGAAUUUCUCCGAAAGGAGAAAGUGCCUUCGGGAGCGCAGUGACAGGUGCUGCAUGGCCGUCGUCAGCUCGUGUCGUGAGAUGUUGGGUUAAGUCCCGCAACGAGCGCAACCCUUAUGGUUAGUUGUAUUUUUCUAGCCAGACUGCCCCGGCAACGGGGAGGAAGGAGGGGAUGAUGUCAGGUCUUUAUUGCCCUUACGUCCAGGGCUAGAAACGCGCUACAAUGGCCGGUACAAUGGGCAGCCAACCCGCGAGGGGGAGCAAAUCUCAUCAAAACCGGUCCCAGUUCGGAUUGCAGGCUGAAACUCGCCUGCAUGAAGCCGG